rnacentral:lncRNA from 1 species
GAAAGCAAGAGUAUCUCAUAUCAUGCUUUCUCCCUGUCAUUUCCUUUGUCCUUGUUCUUACCUACAAAGACAAGGAUAAAGAAAACAAUAUGCCGGAACCUCCACUCAAACUCGAGUAAGGAACCGACUGCUUGGAACCCUUCCCUGAUUGCCUACCUAGCACUGCUCUCGAGUACUCGUCUCCCACUGCUGCUGUACUUCCAAAG